rnacentral:rRNA from 1 species
UACGUAGGGAGCAAGCGUUGUCCGGAUUUACUGGGUGUAAAGGGUGCGUAGGCGGCUUUAUAAGUCAGAAGUGAAAUCCAUGGGCUUAACCCAUGAACUGCUUUUGAAACUGUAGAGCUUGAGUGGAGUAGAGGUAGGCGGAAUUCCCGGUGUAGCGGUGAAAUGCGUAGAGAUCGGGAGGAACACCAGUGGCGAAGGCGGCCUACUGGGCUUUAACUGACGCUGAGGCACGAAAGCGUGGGUAGCAAACAGG